CCUACGGGUGGCUGCAGUGGGGAAUAUUGGACAAUGGGCGAAAGCCUGAUCCAGUCAUGCCGCGUGUGUGAAGAAGGCCUUCGGGUUGUAAAGCACUUUCAGUGGGGAAGAAAGCCUUGGGGCUAAUACCCUCGAGGAAGGACAUCACCCACAGAAGAAGCACCGGCUAACUCCGUGCCAGCAGCCGCGGUAAUACGGAGGGUGCGAGCGUUAAUCGGAAUUACUGGGCGUAAAGCGCGCGUAGGCGGUCUGAUAAGCCGGUUGUGAAAGCCCCGGGCUCAACCUGGGAACGGCAUCCGGAACUGUCAGGCUAGAGUGCAGGAGAGGAAGGUAGAAUUCCCGGUGUAGCGGUGAAAUGCGUAGAGAUCGGGAGGAAUACCAGUGGCGAAGGCGGCCUUCUGGACUGACACUGACGCUGAGGUGCGAAAGCGUGGGUAGCAAACAGGAUUAGAUACCCCAGUAGUC
rnacentral:rRNA from 1 species